rnacentral:rRNA from 1 species
AGAACGAACGCUGGCGGCAUGCCUAACACAUGCAAGUCGAACGCUUUUGGGGCUUCGGUCCCAAAGGAGUGGCGCACGGGUGAGUAGCGCGUGGGAACCUGCCCUGGAGUGGGGGAUAACCGAGGGAAACUUCGGCUAAUACCGCAUACGCCGGGAAACCGGGAAAGAUUUAUCGCUCUAGGGGAGGGGCCCGCGUCGGAUUAGGUAGUUGGUGGGGUAACGGCCUACCAAGCCUGUGAUCCGUAGCUGGUCUGAGAGGAUGAUCAGCCACACUGGGACUGAGACACGGCCCAGACUCCUACGGGAGGCAGCAGUGGGGAAUAUUGGACAAUGGGCGCAAGCCUGAUCCAGCAAUGCCGCGUGAGUGAUGAAGGCCUUCGGGUUGUAAAGCUCUUUCGCACGCGAGGAUGAUGACGCUAGCGUGAGAAGAAGCCCCGGCUAACUCGUGCCAGCAGCCGC